UACGUAGGGGGCUAGCGUUGUCCGGAAUCAUUGGGCGUAAAGCGCGUGUAGGCGGUCCGGUAAGUCCGCUGUGAAAGUCGGGGGGCUCAACCCUCGAAUGCCGGUGGAUACUGUCGGGCUAGAGUGCGGAAGAGGCGAGUGGAAUUCCUGGUGUAGCGGUGAAAUGCGCAGAUAUCAGGAGGAACACCAAUUGCGAAGGCAGCUCGCUGGGACGUUACUGACGCUGAGACGCGAAAGCGUGGGAGCAAACAGG
rnacentral:rRNA from 1 species